GAGUUUGAUCAUGGCUCAGAACGAACGCUGGCGGCAUGCCUAACACAUGCAAGUCGAACGAGACCUUCGGGUCUAGUGGCGCACGGGUGCGUAACGCGUGGGAAUCUACCCUUGGGUUCGGAAUAACAGUUAGAAAUGACUGCUAAUACCGGAUGAUGUCUUCGGACCAAAGAUUUAUCGCCCAAGGAUGAGCCCGCGUAGGAUUAGCUUGUUGGUGAGGUAAAAGCUCACCAAGGCGACGAUCCUUAGCUGGUCUGAGAGGAUGAUCAGCCACACUGGGACUGAGACACGGCCCAGACUCCUACGGGAGGCAGCAGUGGGGAAUAUUGGACAAUGGGCGAAAGCCUGAUCCAGCAAUGCCGCGUGAGUGAUGAAGGCCUUAGGGUUGUAAAGCUCUUUUACCCGGGAUGAUAAUGACAGUACCGGGAGAAUAAGCCCCGGCUAACUCCGUGCCAGCAGCAGCCGCCGUAAU
rnacentral:rRNA from 1 species